rnacentral:rRNA from 1 species
UACGGAGGGAGCUAGCGUUGUUCGGAAUUACUGGGCGUAAAGCGCACGUAGGCGGCUUUGUAAGUUAGAGGUGAAAGCCCGGGGCUCAACUCCGGAACUGCCUUUAAGACUGCAUCGCUAGAAUCAUGGAGAGGUUAGUGGAAUUCCGAGUGUAGAGGUGAAAUUCGUAGAUAUUCGGAAGAACACCAGUGGCGAAGGCGACUAACUGGACAUGUAUUGACGCUGAGGUGCGAAAGCGUGGGGAGCAAACAGG